AGUGAGCGCUGGCGGUAGGCCUAACACAUGCAAGUCGAACGGCAGCACAGUAAGAGCUUGCUCUUCCGGGUGGCGAGUGGCGGACGGGUGAGGAAUAUAACGGGAUCUACUUUUUCGUGGGGGAUAACGAAGGGAAACUUACGCUAAUACAGCAUACGCCCUUCGGGUGAAAGCAUGGGAUCUUCGGACCUUGCGGGGAUGAAUGCGCCGAUGUUGGAUUAGCUAGUUGGCGGGGUAAUGGCCCACCAAGUCGCGGAUCCGUAGCUGGUCUGGGAGGCUGAUCGGCCGCACGGGAACUGAGCCACGGACCAGGCGCCUACGGGAGGCAGCAGUGUGGAAUAGGAGACAACAGGCGCAAACCUUGUCCAGCCAUACCACGUGUGUGAAAGAAGCCUUCGGUGUGUAAAGCCCUUUUUUUGGGUAAGAAAAGCAGCAGGUUAAUACCCCGCUUUUCUGACGGUACCCAAAAAAUAAGCACCGGCUAACUUCGUG
rnacentral:rRNA from 1 species